GUGAGCUGCGCCAUGCUGCCGGCGGCCCCCAGCAGCCCGCGCGCCUUCCCGGAGCCCCUCCCGCCGCUGGGCACCGCGCGUGCGCCGAGGGGCGGCCUCCAUGGCGGCGCCGGCGGGAGCCCCGCCGAGGGCUGCUCCCCGGGCACUGGCGUACCCCGCCUGCGUAACGGCGCUGUGAGCAGUUCCCCCCCGACCCCCCCCUGCCGUGCGCACCCGGACCUGGUGCGCGUUCGCCUGCUUGUGACUCGUGGCUGGGGGAGUCGCCGUGCCCUCAUCGCCCCGUUAGGGCGUUACUGUCCCCUCGCGAGGGUUUACCUGUUGGAGAAGUGUCCUCAGGGGCAGCUCUGGAGGAAGUGUUUAAUUGUGCGUGUAACCUGCAUGGAUUCCAGGGAUCCAUCACUGGGACAGAGCGACUCUCCUGCAGCCUUGCCGAUCACCGUACGCCUCUUGGGCAGCUCUGCAUCCUCAGCUGCACCCGCGCGGCCGCCUCCGCCUCUGUCCGCAGAGGAGUUCCACCUGCUCAACCCAAAUGGCCAGCCACUCUGCGAGCUGCAGCCCCUCGGAGCGCCCAGCGCGCACAUGAUGAUUGUUGCCAGCCAGUCAGAAAAUGGGCAGGUGCUUCACGUCAUUCCUUCUGCCCAGCCAGGAAUGGCCCAAGUGAUAAUUCCUCAGGGUCAGCUUCUGGAUGUCACCAGCACUCAGGAUGCUUCAGAAGAGAAGUGCGGUGAUGGGAACUUGCAGACUGUGGCAGUGGCUGCUAUAGCAGACAGUGCAAGUGGUUAUAUUCUCCAUCCACAAGCAUCUCUCUCCAUAUCAAAAAAAUCAGCAGCCAGGAUAUUACAGGACUCCUUUCCCAUGCCUCUCCAGUCUUUGCCAACAAAUGCACCUGCGUGGGCACGCCGUCUCUGGAACUGUGAGAAAAUUGGGGACUCAUACCGCGGCUAUUGUGUGAGCGAGACAGAAUUAGAGAGUGUUCUAACGCUACACAAGCAGCAAACACAAAGUGUGUGGGGGACGCGCCAGUCUCCAAGCCCGGCCAAACCCGCCACACGGUUGAUGUGGAAAUCUCAGUAUGUCCCAUAUGAUGGGAUCCCCUUUAUCAAUGCAGGAAGCAGAGCCAUUGUAAUGGAGUGCCAGUAUGGUCCAAGGAGAAAAGGGUUUCAGUCCAAAAAAGCUGGUGAGCAGGAAAGCACUUCUGGUUAUCUGUACAAAGCCACUUGUCCAGCAAGGAUCUAUAUUAAAAAAGUUCAAAAGUUUCCAGAGUACAGAGUUCCUACUGACCCUAAAAUUGACAAGAAAAUCAUAAGAAUGGAGCAGGAGAAAGCAUUCAACAUGCUGAAGAAGAACUUGAUAGAGGCUGGUGGUAUUCUCAGGUGGUAUGUGCAGUUACCCACUCAGCAAGCCCACCAAUAUCAUGAAAUGGAAACUUCCUGCCUCCCUUCUUCACCCUCCCAUUUUCCUGCUGCUUUUCCGGAGGAGGAGGAGGAAGUUGUUAGAGAUGAGAACUGCACUCUGCCUUCUCGCCUUCAUCCUCAAGUGGCAGACAAGAUUCGAGAACUGGUGUCUCAAGGAAUUGAGCAAGUCUAUGCAGUGAGGAAGCAGCUAAGAAAGUAUGUGGAAAGAGAAUUAUUCAAGCCUGAUGAAGUGCCAGAGAGACAUAACCUAUCCUUCUUUCCCACUGUGAAUGACAUCAAGAACCACAUUCAUGAAGUGCAGAAAUCCUUGAGAAAUGGCGAGUUGGUAUAUAAUUCAGAAAGCAUUCCAGCAACGCUACAGUGGACCACAGACAGUGGGAAUGUUCUCACAGAGACAGUGACUGUUACGUUUGCCUCACCACCUUCUGAUGGGAGCUCACCGGGGGAGUCAGUCAUCACCAAAGCAGAAUCCAACCAGAGUGGGGAGACCUUGCUAUCAGAAAGAGCUCAGCUGUUGUCUUCUCUCUCUUCACUUCAGCCCAAGAUAUUUGCACAACUUCAGGGAUUACAGCUGCAAUCAAACUUUACCUCCACAAAUGGGUCAACAGCCCUGAUAGCUGUAAAUAACCAUUCUCAUCCCAAUUCUGCAAGUCUCUUGGAUUCCAUAGGGAGUGCAGUAACCAACCAUUCUCCAGUACUUGGUCAAGGGCACAAUCCGCAAAAAGGUGCUGGCCUAGCACAGCACAGCGCCUCUGCUUUUGGGACUCCUCCUGGUACUGAUCAGAAUGUGGUCACCGUGGGCCAGCUGGUAGCACUCGAUGGGGACUCCAGAAGCCUAGAAGGAGAAGUCCAGCAGAUUCUGUUGGGAAAUGUACAGACUAUUCCAGUACGGAUUGUGGAAAGCCAGCCUGCACUUAUCGAAGAUAAUACAGAGGCUGGUAUCUGUAUGAGCGAAGUUAAACAAGAGCCAAGAGAAAAAGCGCUGUCUGUGGAACCAGAUAAAAUCAGAGACUGCCAGAGAUCUUCCUCUGUUUAGCUCUGUGAAGGCUGUAAGGAUUUUUCAUAUUAGAGGACUCUAAAAGUCUUGGAAGGAAAGUCAGAUACUCUCAAAAUAAUGCCAUUCUUUUUGAAUGGUAUUGUGACAUUCAGACUGGGUAUGUUUUACAAUAGUUUGGACCAACAACUGUUUUGAUUUACAACUGAUGUGACUUACUGCCAAUUCCAAGUCUAUUCAUUUACCAUGUGAACCACCACCUCUCUCUUCUAUUUCAUGUUUUGAGUAAUUUGGAUGCUAUCCAUAUGGACCAUUUUGGUCAUCAUUUCUGAAAGUCUUCCACAAUUUGUUUUAGAAUGUGGAUUAAAAUACUUGGUUUGCUUUUCUCCCUGAGACCAUGAACUGUUACAGCACUACACAGACCGCAGAAUCUGCCAGCUCCCAGACUGUGGAAUCCAACAGCAAAAUUCAUCAACACAAUAGUUUUGUGACAAAACAAAGGUCUGAGAGACUACAUUUCAAAGCGAUGAAGGACAUGAAUGCUUAAGAAAAUGCAACUUUGACCUGAUCAUGUUAAUGGUGUGAAGAUCAAGGAGAGAAGAAAGGUCAGAAGGUAUCCAGCAGGUCUAUCCUACAAGCACCAACUAAGGAUCGCUUACCUCUGAGAGUACUCCAGUUAAAACCAGCAAGAAGCCAGACUGGAAACAGAAGAGGAAGUGAAGUUUGUACAAAGCUGCUUGCAGGAGAUAGAAAGCUAUCAAGGAUGCAGCUCGGGAUUGCAGUUUCUUCUGACUGAAGUGGUUCACUUUGAAUGGUAAAUGUUUUUAUGGUAAGCAAUUGUUUGUAGCUGAUCUUGGUGUUACUUAUGCUAUGAACUCAUAUGUAAUAAAAGCUAGAAUGGUAACCACAUAUUUGCUUUAUCUUCUGUGCAGUAGUUAUCUUCUAAAUGUAAGCUGGUAUAACGUUUGUUGUCUUAAUUGUUGACAAAGCUGCUACCAUGUCUGAGGUUUUGUACAUGGAAGGAGACGGGGAAGGUGAGAACCUUCUUGAGUUCCUACUGAGAAGAGAUUAUCUGAGGAAUGACGACUUCACUAUUUUUAAACGUACUUGAUGAGGGGGAAAGUAUUGCAUUAAUUGAUAUUUGCUUCUCGCUAUCCAAAUCUAUUUUAACUGGCAGUAAAUUAAAUUGAUUUUCCCCAUGUUGAGUCUGUUUUGCUCGUGACUGUAAGUGGUAAGUGAUCUCCCUGUCUUUGAACCCAUGGGCUUUUUCAGCCUGUUUUUAUCCCUGACCUGUUAAGAAGGGGAGAGUGGAAGAGCGGCUAAGGUGGACAGUGCAACCUACCACAGUUUCUCCAUCAUCUGAGGUAUGAACCUCACAGUAUUCCCUAACCUAGGAAAUAGUGGACUGUGGUGACACAGGAAGAGGUCCUACUUUGAUAUGAGUGAUGUCUAAACCGUUUCAGAUGGAUGGGACUAAUGAAAGUGUUUCUUCAUGGCAGCUGCUUCUCUGGAGUGAAUUCUUACCUGAUUAACAGGGCUUCCUGGGUAAUCCCACAAGUACUUACUGAAAACUUGUAUUUGAUCUCAAGUCACAAUGACAAAUAGUGAUCUCUUUGGUUGCAAACAAAUAUUACUUUGAGUUCUUUAAGCAAGGCACAAAAUUGAUCACAUUUUACUUCUUAAAAAGCCAUUCUAUGUGUAGAAAGGAGUGCACAGUGUUUGAAUUGGGGCUUGUAUUUCUGAACAUGUUCUGGCUGGGCCUUUCAACUUCUGCUCAUUCACUAUUUCCCUGUAGUAAAUCUCAACUGUGGUGUUGACUGAGGAACCUGUCUAGCCCAUUACAUUUCUACUGGGUAUCAACCAUAUUUGCGUUCUACAGAUUGAAAUGUAGGGGAGGCAUUCUGAAAAAAUAAUGCUGCUGCAGUACUUUCUCCUUCAUCUACUCUGGCAGUGUUGCUCUUGCUGAUGAUGAGGAUGGUAGCAGCAUCUUCAGAGUGUUAUAUCUGCGCUUCAGAAGGGGAUAAAGCCUGGGGAAGCUCAAUCUAUGAAAAAAAAAAUGUCUCUAUUACUUCUCUUCCAGAUGUAUGAACUUCUUUGCAAAAUGAUCUGAGGUAUCACUAGUGAGAUUGGCUAACGGCUGCAAGAUGGAACUGUUUUGCUGUGGAUAGGUGAUAACAAAAAAUAUCAUAGUCAGUCAGCAUAAUACUUAUUAGUAAGAUAAGGUCUUUCAGACAUUGACCAAAGACCAACACUUUGGUGAUAUGAUGGCAUUUAUUCUGAGAUUGCAAACAAAAGUAAUGAUUAAGACAUUGCGGAAAGCAAUGGCAAAUAAAGCGCUUCAUAAAAUACAAA